GCUCGGAUGGUGGAACAGGCAGACACAAGGGACUUAAAAUCCCUCGACCGAAAGGUUAUGCGGGUUCGACCCCCGCUCCGAGCACCA
rnacentral:tRNA from 1 species